CAAUAGCGUAUAUUUAAGUUGUUGCAGUUAAAAAGCUCGUAGUUGGAUUUCGGGUGGGACGCAGCGGUCUCGCAUUGCGUUUGUACUGCUGCAGCCCUCCUUCUUGCCGGGGGCGGCCUCUCGGACUUCACUGUCUGGGGGUCAGAAUCGGCGAUGUUACUUUGAGUAAAUUAGAGUGUUCAAAGCAAGCUUACGCUCUGAAUAUAAUAGCAUGGGAUAACACGACAGGACUCUGGCCUAUCGUGUUGGUCUAUAGGACCAGAGUAAUGAUUAAGAGGGAUAGUCGGGGGCAUUCGUAUUCCGUUGUCAGAGGUGAAAUUCUUGGAUUUACGGAAGACGAACAUCUGCGAAAGCAUUUGCCAAGGAUGUUUUCAUUGA
rnacentral:rRNA from 1 species